UAGGGAAUCUUCCGCAAUGGACGAAAGUCUGACGGAGCAACGCCGCGUGAGUGAAGAAGGAUUUCGGUUCGUAAAACUCUGUUGUUAGGGAAGAAAAAAUGUAUAGUAACUAUAUACAAAAGAGACGGUACCAUAGAAGAAAGCCCCGGCUAAUUACGUGCCAGCAGCCGCGGUAAUACGUAAGGGGCGAGCGUUGUCCGGAAUUAUUGGGCGUAAAGAGUGCGUAGGCGGCAAAUUAAGUCAGAUGUGAAAACUAAGGGCUCAACCCAUAGAUUGCAUCUGAAACUGAUAUGCUUGAGUCAAGGAGAGGAAAGUGGAAUUCCUAGUGUAGCGGUGGAAUGCGUAGAUAUUAGGAGGAAUACCGGUGGCGAAGGCGACUUUCUGGACUUGAACUGACGCUGAGGCACGAAAGCGUGGGGAGCAAACAGG
rnacentral:rRNA from 1 species